rnacentral:rRNA from 1 species
UACGAAGGGGGCUAGCGUUGUUCGGAAUUACUGGGCGUAAAGGGCGCGUAGGCGGGAUGGCAAGUCGGUCGUGAAAUCCUUCGGCUCAACCGAAGAACGUCGAUCGAUACUGCUGUUCUUGAGGGUUGCAGAGGAGACUGGAAUUCCCGGUGUAGCGGUGAAAUGCGUAGAGAUCGGGAGGAACACCGGUGGCGAAGGCGGGUCUCUGGGCAAUUCCUGACGCUGAGGCGCGAAAGCGUGGGGAGCAAACGGG